AACCUAGUAGAGUCAGGGCCAAAUAAAUAAAACAAAGAAACAAACAAUAACACAGGACAGACAACCAACAGUUAAAACCACAACAACACUAGCACAAAAAGAAAUGUAUUUAAUCUAUCACUUUAUAAAGUAAAAGCAAAUAAAAUACUGCCCAUAAGGCACUGAAUUAUAAAAUACAAUUGCGUCAAAAAGAAUAUAAUAAUAUAUAUUUUUCAGGGUUUUUUUUCUUUACAAAAAAACUGUAGAGGCCACAAAAUUAAACGCAAAAAUUUAAAUAACAGUAUAUCAACUUGUUGACUUCAACGGGUCUUUAUUUCACGGUAUCCCAUAAAGAGAAUACCUGCUGCAAUUCCUGCUACCCUGUCCAUAAUUAUAUAAUAUACUAGGAGGGAUUCAUCAAAAGUGGUGCGCGGGAAAUCUGGCUUAGUUGCCCAUAGCAACCAAUCAGAUUCCAGCACCUUUGGAAAAUGAAAGUAGCAAUGUGAUUGGUUGCUAUAGUCAACUAAGCUAUUUUUUUUUGCACCAGUUUGAAAAAUCUCCCCCAUAGAGUUUCAAGGGGUUGCCCCAUUACAGCUUAGGAGACAAGUGUCCGGUCGACAGGAGCCGACUGCUAGGGGCCCUGCAGAUCACUAGAACAGGAACCCACAUUCCACCAUUUAAAUGGAGUGAUACACAUGCAUGCUGCUGCUCCAUUCAACCAUGUGGGACUGCCGGAGAGAGCAGAGUACAAGCGCUCGGCUACCUCUGUCAACCUCAUAGAGUUAAAUGGAGGGGCAGGGGACCCAGCAGUUAUGGGGCAUUUAUCAAAUUGGUGUAAAGUAGAACUGGCUUAGUUGCUCAUAGCAACCAAUCAGAUUCCACCUUUCAUUUUUGACAGCUCCUUUAGAAAAUGAAAGGUGGAAUCUGAUUGAUUGCUAUGGGCAACUAAGCCUGUUCUACUUUACACCAGUUUGAUAAAUGACCCCAUUAUUCCCUAUACUGUGGUUAGGGGAUAAGUUGUUGUAAUGGGACAACCCCUUUAAUACUAAGGAAAUCCUUAAAACAUGACCUGCUGGGGAGGAGGAUUAGAGGACGAGUGAAGAAAACACUGGUGCAGAGGUCCUGUGUCAGUGAAAGGCUCCAUGAAGAAGUAGAGCUAUGCAUUGCACAAGUAAGAACACCAGUAAUAAAGUAUGCACACUGUGCUAUAAAAAACCAAAACACUUCUAACAUCAUAAUAACUCCAAAAGCAGUACACUAAAUGUAUGAAGAAGAGGAAUGAAACAAGAACAAUGGUAUACAGGGUAAUAUUUCACUUGUGUAUUCAGUCGGAUUUACCCCCUGUUGCCUUGAAAUAUAAAUAAUAUAUGAAAUGAUAUAUGAAAAACAGUGCCACUGUUGUCCGUGGGCGGUAUUUGGUAUUGCAGGUCAGCCUCACACCAGGCUAUUCCGCUAUGUGUUAUGUGGCCCUUCAUGCUGAUUCAACGGGAUAUGAAAUAGUUGAUCAUACCAGAAAUAAAUAUCUACUACAUCUGUGACCCAAUCUAAACACUUCAGCCAAAGAAUACAAUUGUUAGACUGUGCAAAUGUGUGUAGAUGAAGGGUCCUGCACCGCAUAGUGUACCUGCAUUAUUGAUGUACCCGAACCAUUAUUGUGCACUGGAAUACAUGAACAGGGAUCCAGAUGGCAACUAAAUCGGUCACCAGUGUGACCAAACAAUACAAUGCGGCUCCUAAAUUGUUAAGGCUAAGUAGCCACAGGCACCAAAGUGAUUUUUUUAGGAUAUUCGCGCCUCAAUCUGCAACUCUUCCCCGCUCACGCCAGGUCUAAAAGAGGGGGCUUGUUGUGGGAGGGGAAGGGGGGCCCGUCUCAUUCAUCAUUAUCUACGCCUGCUUUAGGUAUAGAAAAUAGUCAGAAUUUAAGUCAGCAAGGAAACUGUCUUACAUUUAGAUUGGCGGUGGAUGCGCCAAAGUUAUGUAGAGGCUGGGGGGCGUUAGAUUGUCUAAAACGCUGGUCUUAAUAAAUGACCCCCAAUGUUUCUGUGUGUCUGCUGUAUGAAAUGCAUGUACAUAAAGGCAAUGAAAUGUCACAUACAGUACUAUACAUAACGUACAGUUAUUGGCAUCUAC